AUACUUACCUGGACGGGGUCAAUGGACGAUCAAUAAAACUCAUGGCCUAGGUUGGUGACCUCCAUUGCACUUUGGUGGGGUGCAUGCCUAAGAUUGACCCAAGUGGUCGAGCCUACGUCAUAAUUUGUGGUAGCGGGGGCCUGCGUUCGCGCGGCCCCUA
rnacentral:snRNA from 1 species